rnacentral:rRNA from 1 species
GACGAACGCUGGCGGCGUGCUUAACACAUGCAAGUCGAACGGAAAGGCCCUGCUUUUGUGGGGUGCUCGAGUGGCGAACGGGUGAGUAACACGUGAGUAACCUGCCCUUGACUUUGGGAUAACUUCAGGAAACUGGGGCUAAUACCGGAUAGGAGCUCCUGCUGCAUGGUGGGGGUUGGAAAGUUUCGGCGGUUGGGGAUGGACUCGCGGCCUAUCAGCUUGUUGGUGGGGUAGUGGCUUACCAAGGCUUUGACGGGUAGCCGACCUGCGAGGGUGGCCGGCCACAUUGGGACUGGGAUACGGCCCAGACUCCUACGGGAGGCAGCAGUGGGGAAUAUUGCACAGUGGGCGGAAGCCUGAUGCGGCAACGCCGCGUGCGGGAUGACAGCCUUCGGGUUGUAAACCGCUUUCGCCUGUGACGAAGCGUGAGUGACGGUAAUGGGUAAAGAAGCACCGGCUAACUACGUG